rnacentral:rRNA from 1 species
UACGUAGGGGGCGAGCGUUAUUCGGAAUUAUUGGGCGUAAAGGGCGCGUAGGCGGCUUUUCAAGUGACGGGUGAAAUCCCUCGGCUUAACCGAGGAACUGCCUGUCAGACUGGAAGGCUUGAGACCGGGAGAGGUGAGUGGAAUUCCCAGUGUAGCGGUGAAAUGCGUAGAUAUUGGGAGGAACACCAGUGGCGAAGGCGGCUCACUGGACCGGAACUGACGCUGAGGCGCGAAAGCGUGGGGAGCGAACAGG